rnacentral:rRNA from 1 species
ACGGCGAGUGAAGCGGCAACAGCUCAAAUUUGAAAGCUAGCCUUCGGGUUCGCAUUGUAAUUUGUAGAGGAUGAUUUGGGGAAGCCGCCUGUCUAAGUUCCUUGGAACAGGACGUCAUAGAGGGUGAGAAUCCCGUAUGUGACAGGAAAUGGCACCCUAUGUAAAUCUCCUUCGACGAGUCGAGUUGUUUGGGAAUGCAGCUCUAAAUGGGAGGUAAAUUUCUUCUAAAGCUAAAUAUUGGCGAGAGACCGAUAGCGCACAAGUAGAGUGAUCGAAAGAUGAAAAGCACUUUGGAAAGAGAGUUAAAAAGCACGUGAAAUUGUUGAAAGGGAAGCGCUUGCAAUCAGACUUGUUUAAACUGUUCGGCCGGUCUUCUGACCGGUUUACUCAGUUUGGACAGGCCAGCAUCAGUUUCGGCGGCCGGAUAAAGGCUCUGGGAAUGUGGCCUCCACUUCGGUGGAGGUGUUAUAGCCCAGGGUGUAAUACGGCCAGCCGGGACUGAGGUCCGCGCUUCGGCUAGGAUGCUGGCGUAAUGGUUGUAAGCGACCCG